UAUACCGUGAAACUGCGAAUGGCUCAUUAAAUCAGUUAUCGUUUAUUUGAUAGUACCUUACUACUUGGAUAACCGUGGUAAUUCUAGAGCUAAUACAUGCUAAAAACCCCGACUUCGGAAGGGGUGUAUUUAUUAGAUAAAAAACCAACGCCCUUCGGGGCUUCUUGGUGAUUCAUGAUAACUUUACGGAUCGCAUGGCCUUGCGCCGGCGACGGUUCAUUCAAAUUUCUGCCCUAUCAACUUUCGAUGGUAAGGUAUUGGCUUACCAUGGUUUCAACGGGUAACGGGGAAUUAGGGUUCGAUUCCGGAGAGGGAGCCUGAGAAACGGCUACCACAUCCAAGGAAGGCAGCAGGCGCGCAAAUUACCCAAUCCCGACACGGGGAGGUAGUGACAAUAAAUACUGAUACAGGGCUCUUUUGGGUCUUGUAAUUGGAAUGAGUACAAUUUAAACCUCUUAACGAGGAACAAUUGGAGGGCAAGUCUGGUGCCAGCAGCCGCGGUAAUUCCAGCUCCAAUAGCGUAUAUUAAAGUUGUUGCAGUUAAAAAGCUCGUAGUUGAAACUUGGGUCUGGCUGGCAGGUCCGCCUCACCGCGUGUACUUGUCCGGCCGGGCCUUCCUUCUGGAGAACCUCAUGCCCUUCACUGGGCGUGUUGGGGACCAGGACUUUUACUUUGAAAAAAUUAGAGUGUUCAAAGCAGGCCUUUGCUCGAAUACGUUAGCAUGGAAUAAUAGAAUAGGACGUGCGGUCCUAUUUUGUUGGUUUCUAGGACCGCCGUAAUGAUUAAUAGGGACAGUCGGGGGCAUCAGUAUUCAAUUGUCAGAGGUGAAAUUCUUGGAUUUAUUGAAGACUAACUACUGCGAAAGCAUUUGCCAAGGAUGUUUUCAUUAAUCAGUGAACGAAAGUUAGGGGAUCGAAGACGAUCAGAUACCGUCGUAGUCUUAACCGUAAACUAUGCCGACUAGGGAUCGGGCGAUGUUCUUUUUCUGACUCGCUCGGCACCUUACGAGAAAUCAAAGU
rnacentral:rRNA from 1 species